rnacentral:rRNA from 1 species
CCUACGGGGGGCUGCAGUGGGGAAUAUUGGACAAUGGGCGCAAGCCUGAUCCAGCCAUACGCGCGUGGGUGAAGAAGGCCUUCGGGUUGUAGAAGCCCUUUUGUUGGGAAAGAAAUCCAGCUGGUUAAUACCCGGUUGGGAUGACGGUACCCAAAGAAUAAGCACCGGCUAACUUCGUGCCAGCAGCCGCGGUAAUACGAAGGGUGCAAGCGUUACUCGGAAUUACUGAGGACGUAAAGCGUGCGUAGGUGGUCUGUUUAAGUCUGUUGUGAAAGCCCUGGGCUCAACCUGGGAACUGCAGUGGAAACUGGACGACUAGAGUGUGGUAGAGGGUAGCGGAAUUCCUGGUGUAGCAGUGAAAUGCGUAGAGAUCAGGAGGAACAUCCAUGGCGAAGGCAGCUACCUGGACCAACACUGACACUGAGGCACGAAAGCGUGGGGAGCAAACAGGAUUAGAUACCCCUGGUAGUC